UGGGGAAUUUUCCGCAAUGGGCGAAAGCCUGACGGAGCAAUACCGCGUGAGGGAGGAAGGCUCUUGGGUUGUAAACCUCUCUUCUCAGGGAAGAAAAAAAUGACGGUACCUGAGGAAUAAGCAUCGGCUAACUCCGUGCCAGCAGCCGCGGUAAUACGGAGGAUGCAAGCGUUAUCCGGAAUGAUUGGGCGUAAAGCGUCCGCAGGUGGCUAUGUAAGUCUGCUGUUAAAGAAUGAGGCUCAACCUCAUCAAAGCAGUGGAAACUACAAGGCUAGAGUGCGUUCGGGGUAGAGGGAAUUCCUGGUGUAGCGGUGAAAUGCGUAGAUAUCAGGAAGAACACCGGUGGCGAAAGCGCUCUACUAGGCCGCAACUGACACUGAGGGACGAAAGCUAGGGGAGCGAAUGGGAUUAGAUACCCCAGUAGUCCUAGCCGUAAACGAUGGAUACUAGGCGUGGCUUGUAUCGACCCGAGCCGUGCCGGAGCUAACGCGUUAAG
rnacentral:rRNA from 1 species